UCUUGAUAUUUCAACUUGCUUUCAUAGCAUCAAAUAAGUAAUAAAAACCAAACUUAUCAGAGAAAUUAACACUUGAACAAUCAUCAGCGUGAUAAGAAUGACCCAAAAC